rnacentral:rRNA from 1 species
CCUACGGGAGGCAGCAGUGAGGAAUAUUGGUCAAUGGACGAGAGUCUGAACCAGCCAAGUAGCGUGAAGGAUGACUGCCCUAUGGGUUGUAAACUUCUUUUAUAAAGGAAUAAAACGAGCCACGUGUGGCUUUUUGUAUGUACCCUAUGAAUAAGGAUCGGCUAACUCCGUGCCAGCAGCCGCGGUAAUACGGAGGAUCCGAGCGUUAUCCGGAUUUAUUGGGUUUAAAGGGAGCGUAGGUGGGUUGUUAAGUCAGUUGUGAAAGUUUGCGGCUCAACCGUAAAAUUGCAGUUGAAACUGGCAGUCUUGAGUACAGUAGAGGUAGGCGGAAUGCGUGGUGUAGCGGUGAAAUGCUUAGAUAUCACGAAGAACCCCGAUUGCGAAGGCAGCUUACUGGACUGCAACUGACACUGAGGCUCGAAAGUGUGGGUAUCAAACAGGAUUAGAUACCCUAGUAGUC